rnacentral:lncRNA from 1 species
GGCAGGGGCCACGUAUAAGCAUAACUCUAUUUAGCAAACCCAGAAGAGAUACUUGGAUGACUAUCUGUGUGAUUAUCAAGUUUUUUACCAGACUGUGAUCCUUGAAGAAAAGGAUUUUGUCUUUCAUUUAUUAAAUAAAUAUUUAUCACUUUCUAAGUAGUAAACAGGAUAGUAAAAUCCUGAUUCCUCAUGCAGCUUACAUUCUACAUUCUUCAACACAUUGAUAAUGCUGACUCUAUUCCCAACUCCACUCAAAGCUUGACACCUAUAUUAACAUCUUAAAGCAACAACCCUAUGAGCCUCUCCUGCCUAUGCAAAUCCAUUUGGCCAAAACAACCUGAGAAAACUAGAAUUAUUUGCAAGAAUCACUGCAAAGGAGUUCAAGCAUGGAAGAAUCAUUAUUCAUAAUUUGCUGCCUAUGCCUAUGGCUGGGCCUCAAGGGCUAGUAAGCAUUGCCCCUUUCUUCACUGCCUGAGAUGGGAACCAGUCAUGCAACACACAAGACAGAAAAACGGAGAUGAAAAUAUUACCUGCAUUUAUGGUCCUGUGUGAAUACAUGUAAAUUCCCUAGCAUGGUGAUUAGAACAAGAUGAAGG